AGACACUAGAGCAUAAAGAUUAUUAGAGAUGGGAAAUCAUCUCAGCGAAGUUGAAUUCAGGAAAUGAGCUAAUUUAAAUAAAUGGAAUAGAAAAUAAAAUCUUCAAAUUCAAAUUCAAAUUGGUACAAUUUAACCCUUUGUUGUGGCCUGGAAAUAUUCAAUUCCUUCUCCAACUAAUACUUUUGUAGGGAAGAACAAUCCUCCCUUGAGGCAGCCGAAACUGAUUAAAGUAGGAGGCUGACUGCUGAAUAUUAAAACUGAUACGUAGUUUGUAUCUAUGGAAUUCAUUAUUUUAUAAUCAGCACUUUGUUACAAGUCGACGACAUUCACUGUUCUUCAUGGCAAACUUACAGGCCUGGUUUACAAGUCCAUCGCCUUCUCAUUUUUCAGUUUACCUAAUACUUAGGCAACAUUCACUAAUGACUCUCUUGGUUGUCAAUUGUGUGAAAUGCUAUCAAAUUCUUGCCUAUUCCUUGAGGCUGUUUAUUGUGGCUUGGCAAGUAGUUAGGAUAGUUUAAACUGCAUAAAUUAGUAUUUUGAGCACACAAGUUUGUUAAUCAUUUAUUGAUUAGGAUAAGCUAAGUAGAUGCAUCAUUUAACAUGUUAAAUUAAUGGAAUGGAAUAAUUAUUCACAAUGGUAAUAAUUCUCUAUUUUAUAUACCAAACUCUGUAUCCCCCAAUAAUGUGAGAUUAAUUUAGAUUAUUCAUACCAUUUGCCACUUUAUUUUAUUACCUGAGAAGAGUAGUGAUUACUUAUGUUCUUAUCCGGUUUUGAGGAGGAACCAUAGAGAAGGGAUAUGUAGAGAAAGUUGAGGUUCUUGUACUUGGCAGGCAGUGUGCUAACUCUUCUUGUAUCGUGGUUUUAUUUUGUGAUACUUUUGAUGAAUACAUGGAAAUUGAUGUUUUGGAUAAGAUUAGGCCUAUUCACAACUUGAGUAAAUUUUUAAUGCGGUUUUGACAAGGUUGUCAAAUCUAAUUGACAUUGAACUUCUAUGCUUUCUCAUUUGAAGACUUGAGACUUCUUAUUACCACAGUCGGAGUUUGCUUGAAAUUUUGUGGCACACUAUCUGUGAUGUUUAUUGUGAACCCUUUUGAUCCGUUGAUUAGUACUGAAGGCAAUUUGUCACUAACCUUUACUCAUGCCUAGUCAUUUUGUUAGCUUAUUAGCAUGUUGCAUUUUUAUUGAAUUAAUAGAUGCAUGCAUGGGUUACAAAGUUGAUUUCAGACAAGAUAUUUAGACACUGCCGUAUUUUUAAAUGCAAUAUAGUUUCUCACUCUCUAUUUGAAGUUACAUUAUAGAGUCUUCUCUGAUGUUUUUGACAAAAUAUUGGUAAGUUGCUUGCUGACAAGUUGAACCCUUGGAUUAAUGCUAGAAAUUUAAUGUAGGGUAGUUCUUGUCUGUUCAUGAUUGGUUUUACUCUUUUUUUUUUUUUUUAGGGCAUCAAAGACACCCAUGAGCAAGGAAAUUGUGGGAAUGAGAAACCGGUCCACGGUAACUCUUCCAGAAAAGAGAAGGAAGAAGCUUCCUCAGAUGACGAACAGCAAGACUCAAGGAGAGGGCGCUCAAAAUUGGAACGUUGGACAAGCCAUAAGGAGAGGGAUUUCAAUAUCAACAGUAAGUCGUCAUCUUCCCUGAAGUUUAAAGAAAUUAAUAAGAAUAGUAAUGGCAGAACGUUAGAGACCAGCAAAAUUCCAGAGGAACCUGCUACAGCAGUUGAGCCUGUUGAUAAGCAAAGCCCCAUGGCUGAUAAGAAAGAUGGUAGUAAUCCUGAGAAUACAAAACCAGUGGACGAUCGGCACCUUGACACAGUUGAGAAGCUGAAGAAGCGAAGUGAGCGAUUCAAGCUCCCAAUGCCAAGUGAGAAGGAUACGUUGGCAAUAAAGAAAAUGGAGAGUGAACCUCUACCUUCUACCAAAAGUGAGACUGCUGCAGGCUCAGAAAUCAAACAGGAGCGGCCAGCCCGGAAACGAAGGUGGAUCAGUAACUAAAGUUGGGAAAAGUUAUUCCCCGCACUAUUUUUGAAUUAUUGAACCCUGAAGUUGUUAUCAUGCCCCAUGCUUUGAAAUGGCUUAAAUAGGGUUCUUAGGAUAUGCAAUGUACCUCAGCUAUAGUUUUAUAAUUUUGUAACCAUGCAGCCACCAUAUAACUUUUUAUAUUAUGUGUAUAUACAAUGGGGAUUGUAACUCUGUAACUGGUCACUAGUGGUGGCACAGAGAAUUGCUUUUAGUGUUAAUUUGAAUUGUAUUACCCAGAUUUAGUCUGGGUGCUUGGAGGCUCAGUCCUGUACUGUACCUGCAAAUUCUGCUAACAGAGAAUUGUUGUUGUAUGGAAUGGAGGCCGGCGCUGUCAGAGGCGAGGCUUUAGCUUGAUGUUGACAACUUCCUCAGUUGUGAGGUUCAAAGAAAUUCUGUAACUGAUGGAUGAUCUAGGUGAAGACGAAACUCUCCGCAAUGUAAGAGUAGGAAGUAGGAACAUCAAGAUUGAUAUGAAUGAUUCAUCUUCCUUGUAUCUGUAGUUUGUUAGAAAUUACGACCAUUUUUGUUUUUUUGUUUUUGCCCUUUUACUUAGUUUUGGCGGGAUGCCACAACAGGUUGAAACACAUAUCGAAAUCGAAUGUUGGUUCGGGUCAGUCCAUUUUGUUGUACUAAGAGAAAAAAUUGAGUUAUAUUGAAGGUAAAGAAACAAUAUUUCAGUCACUGACCUCUUCUUCCCAUGUUGAAUGAAUUGUUAGCAAAAUGUGAUUCAUUAACCAGAAUACCAACCUUACUGCUAUUUAAGGCUUCAAUAUUCGGGUUCGGGGCACGCUGAAUCCUGAAGGAGGUGUUAAACGGGUCGGUCAAAUUUAGGUGCAACACACGAGUCACAUUGAAUGUAUGAUAAUAAUAAUACAUUUACAUUAAUUUUACUACUGCUGUACGGCCAAGGCGGAUGUACGGUACAGCAGUUUGGUUUUCUUUUUGGGGAUUUUAAGAUUUUGGUUUUUUGUUUAUUGACCAUUGGCGUCCAUUCAAGAAUUUUUCUGUAGCUUUAGAAAGUUGAAUGUUGCUUGAGUACUGAAAAUUAGUGCCUUUUCUUUUUCUUUUUUUUUCCAAUCAUUAAUGAGUACUAGAGGUUUUUAAAAUAUAUGAUUGUUGCUUUGCUUUGGUUUUUAAUUGGGAUUCUUGCUUUUGGUUUUUGCAGGUUUUGGGUUUUUAUCAGCUUAUGAAUUACGAAAUUGUGGGAAUGAGAAACCGGUCCACGGUAACUCUUCCAGAAAAGAGAAGGAAGAAGCUUCCUCAGAUGACGAACAGCAAGACUCAAGGAGAGGGCGCUCAAAAUUGGAACGUUGGACAAGCCAUAAGGAGAGGGAUUUCAAUAUCAACAGUAAGUCGUCAUCUUCCCUGAAGUUUAAAGAAAUUAAUAAGAAUAGUAAUGGCAGAACGUUAGAGACCAGCAAAAUUCCAGAGGAACCUGCUACAGCAGUUGAGCCUGUUGAUAAGCAAAGCCCCAUGGCUGAUAAGAAAGAUGGUAGUAAUCCUGAGAAUACAAAACCAGUGGACGAUCGGCACCUUGACACAGUUGAGAAGCUGAAGAAGCGAAGUGAGCGAUUCAAGCUCCCAAUGCCAAGUGAGAAGGAUACGUUGGCAAUAAAGAAAAUGGAGAGUGAACCUCUACCUUCUACCAAAAGUGAGACUGCUGCAGGCUCAGAAAUCAAACAGGAGCGGCCAGCCCGGAAACGAAGGUGGAUCAGUAACUAAAGUUGGGAAAAGUUAUUCCCCGCACUAUUUUUGAAUUAUUGAACCCUGAAGUUGUUAUCAUGCCCCAUGCUUUGAAAUGGCUUAAAUAGGGUUCUUAGGAUAUGCAAUGUAC
rnacentral:lncRNA from 1 species